rnacentral:rRNA from 1 species
AGGGAAUCUUCCGCAAUGGACGAAAGUCUGACGGAGCAACGCCGCGUGAGUGAUGAAGGUUUUCGGAUCGUAAAACUCUGUUGUUAGGGAAGAAUAAGUACGAGAGUAACUGCUCGUACCUUGACGGUACCUAACCAGAAAGCCACGGCUAACUACGUGCCAGCAGCCGCGGUAAUACGUAGGUGGCAAGCGUUGUCCGGAAUUAUUGGGCGUAAAGCGCGCGCAGGCGGUUCCUUAAGUCUGAUGUGAAAGCCCACGGCUCAACCGUGGAGGGUCAUUGGAAGCUGGGGAACUUGAGUGCAGGAGAGAAGAGUGGAAUUCCACGUGUAGCGGUGAAAUGCGUAGAGAUGUGGAGGAACACCAGUGGCGAAGGCGACUCUUUGGCCUGUAACUGACGCUGAGGCGCGAAAGCGUGGGGAGCAAAC